GCCGGGCGUGGUGGCGGGUGCCUGUAAUCCCAGCUGCUCAGGAGGCUGAGACAGGAGAAUUGCUUGGACCCGGGAGGCAGAGGUUGCAGUGAGCCAAGAUCGUGCCACUGCACUCCAUCCUGGGUGACAGAGCGAGACUCUGUCUCAA
rnacentral:SRP_RNA from 1 species